rnacentral:tRNA from 1 species
GUCCUCGUAGCUCAGUUGGAUAGAGCGACGGUUUCCUAAACCGUAGGUCGCCGGUUCGACUCCGGCCGAGGAUACCA